AAAUUGAAGAGUUUGAUCAUGGCUCAGAUUGAACGCUGGCGGCAGGCCUAACACAUGCAAGUCGAGCGGUAGCACAGAGAGCUUGCUCUCGGGUGACGAGCGGCGGACGGGUGAGUAAUGUCUGGGAAACUGCCUGAUGGAGGGGGAUAACUACUGGAAACGGUAGCUAAUACCGCAUAAUGUCGCAAGACCAAAGUGGGGGACCUUCGGGCCUCAUGCCAUCAGAUGUGCCCAGAUGGGAUUAGCUAGUAGGUGGGGUAACGGCUCACCUAGGCGACGAUCCCUAGCUGGUCUGAGAGGAUGACCAGCCACACUGGAACUGAGACACGGUCCAGACUCCUACGGGAGGCAGCAGUGGGGAAUAUUGCACAAUGGGCGCAAGCCUGAUGCAGCCAUGCCGCGUGUAUGAAGAAGGCCUUCGGGUUGUAAAGUACUUUCAGCGGGGAGGAAGGGAGUAAAGUUAAUACCUUUGCUCAUUGACGUUACCCGCAGAAGAAGCACCGGCUAACUCCGUGCCAGCAGCCGCGGUAAUACGGAGGGUGCAAGCGUUAAUCGGAAUUACUGGGCGUAAAGCGCACGCAGGCGGUUUGUUAAGUCAGAUGUGAAAUCCCCGGGCUCAACCUGGGAACUGCAUCUGAUACUGGCAAGCUUGAGUCUCGUAGAGGGGGGUAGAAUUCCAGGUGUAGCGGUGAAAUGCGUAGAGAUCUGGAGGAAUACCGGUGGCGAAGGCGGCCCCCUGGACGAAGACUGACGCUCAGGUGCGAAAGCGUGGGGAGCAAACAGGAUUAGAUACCCUGGUAGUCCACGCCGUAAACGAUGUCGACUUGGAGGUUGUGCCCUUGAGGCGUGGCUUCCGGAGCUAACGCGUUAAGUCGACCGCCUGGGGAGUACGGCCGCAAGGUUAAAACUCAAAUGAAUUGACGGGGGCCCGCACAAGCGGUGGAGCAUGUGGUUUAAUUCGAUGCAACGCGAAGAACCUUACCUGGUCUUGACAUCCACAGAACUUUCCAGAGAUGGAUUGGUGCCUUCGGGAACUGUGAGACAGGUGCUGCAUGGCUGUCGUCAGCUCGUGUUGUGAAAUGUUGGGUUAAGUCCCGCAACGAGCGCAACCCUUAUCCUUUGUUGCCAGCGGUCCGGCCGGGAACUCAAAGGAGACUGCCAGUGAUAAACUGGAGGAAGGUGGGGAUGACGUCAAGUCAUCAUGGCCCUUACGACCAGGGCUACACACGUGCUACAAUGGCGCAUACAAAGAGAAGCGACCUCGCGAGAGCAAGCGGACCUCAUAAAGUGCGUCGUAGUCCGGAUUGGAGUCUGCAACUCGACUCCAUGAAGUCGGAAUCGCUAGUAAUCGUGGAUCAGAAUGCCACGGUGAAUACGUUCCCGGGCCUUGUACACACCGCCCGUCACACCAUGGGAGUGGGUUGCAAAAGAAGUAGGUAGCUUAACCUUCGGGAGGGCGCUUACCACUUUGUGAUUCAUGACUGGGGUGAAGUCGUAACAAGGUAACCGUAGGGGAACCUGCGGUUGGAUCACCUCCUUA
rnacentral:rRNA from 1 species